GUGUCUACUUCUUACAAUCCGGCAACAAAUAAAUUGCACUGCGAACAAAGUAUAUCAACAAAGAAAACAUUUUUGUUUCAUAAUUUCUUCGUUAUAUUCCCUUACAAAGCUAGCUUUAACGCUUCGAGGUUUCCUUUGUUCUUGCCGUCGCCUCGGCGCUUGACCCAGACUUUCGCUCUGUAGUUGCUUAGUACUACAAAAAAUUCUAAAUCUGUGAUAUAUGAUUGAUAAACGUAAAGUUAACUGUAUAAACGUGUUCAAUGACUUUGUUACUUUUGAUGAUUGGAGAGCACUCGCUUCAAUUUGCACACGAAAACUUUAGACUCAGUUUGAAUGCUCACGCAGCAUGCCCACGUGACUGUACGUUGCACGCGUACAUGACUUUCCGUUUGUGCCUUGAAUAAUGAAUAAGGCUACAGCCACACGUACCAGCGUAUUUUUGAAACCGCUGAUUUUUCUAUGUGUUUGCACCUUUUGUCCACACGUAAUGUAUGUCUGGCCGUACAUUGUGUUUGUAUUUCCAGGCACAUUUCACGGGAACGCAGUCUUCAGAGAUCUCUACGUGAACGCUGUGAUCUGACCUUCAGUCCGAAGAAGAAACCCAGACCAGUCUUAAAAGAAAGCACAAGUAAAACCUUUUUAUUCACAAACAUAUCUUUGAUUGUUAAGAAUUUGUGAUCUUGUCUUUUAUACAUAUCUGUGGUGCUUAUCACCACAUAAUAUAGUCCAAAAAGUGGAAGUUUGUAAACUUUUUAAAAAUGCAAAGCAGUGUACACUUGUGCACUUCAAAAAUUCAUUGUAUACUGUACCUUCUUGCACGUCUCUGUUUCCUGUGUGUGUUGUUAGAAAUCAAACUAACUUUAGGAAACAAUAUGCCAAAAGCAUAUUUACAAUUACUUAAGACCGUUUUAAAUUUCUUUUCUUUAGACCAAAUCCCCUGUACACAUAUACGGACUCAGAGGAUGAGCAGCCUACAAAAAAACCGGUUUCCCCAGGCCCCUCGAGUGAAAAUACCAGCCCUCAUCACUCCGCAGUCUGCCCCCCAGCCCACUGAUAGCAACCAUCAUAAUGCCCCACCCAGCUUCCGGCACCUUUCGCCACUCCGGCACAAACCGACACAGCUUUGCGAUCUCGCCAGCAUGCAGAGUCUGAUGUCUUCCCUAUAGAUGAUUCCAGAGACUCUGUGAGGCCACUAUUACAAGGCAAGUUUGAAAAUCUUGGAAUUUCACAGUUUACAUGGUAUAACAAAUAUAUGUGACAGGCAAAAACUAGUAAACACUUUUAGCAGUUACAAGAACUAACACAUGAAUAUCCAACAAAAGGGAAUAGAAAUACAUUGUACUGCCAAUACUUUGGUUUAUUCUUUGUAUGACUUGAAAAUCAGGCUUUAGGGAAAACUAAAUGACAUGUUUCUAUCAUCAAUUACAUGAAGUAAACACACAAGCACUUGCAUACACAUUUAAGACAUGAGACACGCUAAUUCCAUCUCUUAAAAUGUGUCUAUAGGUGAGACGCUUUGCGUUGAUUGGUGCUACUGGACCACACUGGAGGUGCGAGUCCGCCGUGUAAUGGUUUAUGCCAUUACAAAGGAGCUGGCCUCUGUACUCAACUGGGCAGGGGAAAAAAACCAAGGACCAGACAAAGCAAAAAAGGGCAUUUAAAGAGACAGCGCUGUGCAGAUGCAUAUUUGGUAAGUUUUAACAUUUAUUGUAGUUUUAUGAGCCUAAAGUGAACAAUAAAGGGAUCAAUUGAUGUGCUGGGUGCGUUUCACAUUUCCUAUGUCUGGUUUUUGCUAUAUUACUUUGUCUUUCUUAAUAACAAGACUUUCAUGUCCGGUUAAUCUGGAGAUGGAGUCUUUGGUCUUCGGCUUGUUUUGUCCUCGGGUUGUACACUUUGUACAGCCCGAGGACCCCAUGUUUUCUUUUUUUUUUUUUUUUUUUUUAAAGGAUACACGGCACACCAUGCUAAGACAUAUCACAUUUUCAGCUUAUAGCUCUUUGGGAAUCAAAUGCGGCAGUUUGCUGAUUUCCGCCUGGUGACUUUCAUGUUUAUCAGCCUAGGAGUUUACAUACUUUCUCACUGCUGAAGACAGUUAACAAGAGCUUAUUCAUGUGCUCUAAUUCCCUUUUUUUUGUCUUUGUUUUUUUGUGUGUGUGUCUAUUUUUGUCCUAGAUGGCCUGGCGCAGCAGGUAGGGGCGAACUCUAUGUCUGAGUUGGUCUUUGCUCAAGCAGUCCAGAAAUGGCUCAGAUAUGCUCCAGAUUGUACGGGUGGCGCGCAGGACGCACAUCAUCCAUCCCCAUCCCGGAGUAAAUAAUAAAAAGUGACGUGAAACAUAGAAAUGUAAAUAGGAAACUUUGUCUUUUAAUAAAGUAUUUUGCAAAUGAUACAUGUCUAUUGACCUUUUUUGUUUUUUUUGUUUUUUGUUUUCAAUAAAAAGCAACUGUGCGAAAGAGGUGGAAAAUUAAUACCAUAGCUCAACAGUGUUUCAAUAUCAGAAUCUGACAUUGUUUCAAUGUCAACAGUGUUAGAAAAUAUAACGUAGAAUCAAUGUCAGGUUUCAACAUUGAUUCAACAUCAAAACCUGACAUUGUUUCAACGUUAAAAAUGGGUGCAAGAGUGAUGUUGGGUCAACGUCACACUUCAACGUUGCUUCAAUGACGUCGCCUGAUAUUGACUCAACAUUGUUUCAAUGUUUCCUUGCUAUCUGGGGAUACAUUGUCAGAUAAUGUUUAUCAUAUAAAGGGUGUCUAAUUUUUGGAAUAAGUACAAUUAUCUGUUUUGGAGGUUUAGGUAUUGAUGGUAACUUGCAG
rnacentral:lncRNA from 1 species